AACGAACGCUGGCGGCAUGCCUAAUACAUGCAAGUCGAACGAGGAAGGCCUUCGGGCCCGGUACUAGUGGCGCACGGGUGAGGAAUGCGUAGAUAAUCUGCCUUUUUGUGGGGAAUAACGUUCCGAAAGGAACGCUAAUACCGCAUAAGACCACGAACACUGCGGUGUAUGUGGUAAAAGAUGGCCUCUUCUUGAAAGCCGUCGCAAAAAGAUGAGUCUACGUCCCAUUAGAUUGAUGGUGGGGUAACGGCCUACCAUAUCCGCGAUGGGUAGCUGGUCUGAGAGGAUGAUCAGCCACACUGGAACUGAGACACGGUCCAG
rnacentral:rRNA from 1 species